UAGGCUGGUCACAGGACGUGGCCGACAGCCUGGGGAUUCCACGAGUUGCCUUCAUUCCCAGUGACUCAGUCAUCGAAGCGAUGUGCUACCAUAUUCCAGAGCUUGUCUCCAGGGGUUUCAUUCCUGGCCAUGUUCCUGCCAAUGGUGAGAAGAAGAAGAAACUUUACAAUUGCUUCAUACCGAUCGACGAAUAUGUGUUGUUGUCUCAGCCGAUCCAAAUCCGGACGCUUUGAUCGACUUCAUCCCUGGUCUCGAGCCUUUUACAAGAGAGUUGCUCCCUCUUGCCUUCCAGCACGGGGGACCCAUUGUGACCACUGUGGGAGUUGCAGCCAGACGAACAAAGGAUGCGGUUUGCAUUGUCGUCAACACGAUUGAGGAGUUGGAUCAGGAAGUUGUGAAUGGACGGAGGUUGCUAUUCUCCAGUUAUUUACCAGUCGGACCUCUGGUACCUGCGGAGCUUCUGCAAGAACAGCACCCGAUCACUCUCAGUUCUCCAAAUGACACUAGCAUGAUCUGGCUAGACAAACAAGCUUACCGCUCGGUUCUCUAUAUCGCUUUUGGCAGUGUUGUUACUCUGCCAGCCGACCAAGUGGAGAAGAUUGCAAGAGCUGUAAAAGCCACUCGUCAGCCAGUCUUGUGGGCGAUCAGGAGGAACUUUGCAAAAGACGUACCUGAGAACUUUUAUGAAAGCUUGCAAGAGAUAGUUGGGGCGCAAGCCUGCCUGGUGGUGGAAUGGGCUCCACAAGUAAACGUCUUGCGCCACUCCGCGGUUGGAGCCUUCUUAAUGCACGGUGGAUGGAACUCAGCUCUAGAAGCCCUGUGCUGUGGAGUACCAAUGCUUUGCUGGCCCUGCGGUAACGAUCAGAACUUGAAUGCUCUCACGAUAGUGAAGAAGUGGAGAAUUGGGAUAAUGGUGGCUCAUGGACCCAAAGACGAUGUGAGAAGCGAAGACUUGGGAAACGUUAUAGAUGCUGUGAUGAACGGCGAGGAAGGGAGGAGGAUGAGGAGCAGAGCUCAAGAACUUAAAAAGAUCGUGAGGGCAGGUACUUGCCUGGAGAGAAAUCUUCGACAGCUCAAGGAUGUGAUCAUAGCCGCGUCUCAAUAGGGGCCUGCAAUACCAUCUGGAUUCAUACUUGAU
rnacentral:lncRNA from 1 species